rnacentral:rRNA from 1 species
GAUGAACGCUGGCGGCGUGCCUAACACAUGCAAGUCGAGCGAACAGACGAGGAUCUUGCUCCUCGCACGUUAGCGGCGGACGGGUGAGUAACACGUGUAUACCCUACCUAUAAGUCUGAUAUAACUUCGGGACACCGGAGCUAAUACCGGAUAAUAUAUUGAACCGCAUGGUUCGAUGGUAAGAGACGGUUGUGCUGUCACUUCUAGAUGGAUACGCGCCGCAUGAGCUAGUUGGUAAGGUAACGGCUUAUCAAGGCUAGGAUGCGUAACCGACGGGAGGGGGGGAUCGCCCACACGGGAACUGAGCCACGCUCCAGGCUCCUACGGGAGGCACCAGUAGGGAAUCGUCCGCAGUGGGCGAAAGCAUGACGGAGCAGCGCCGCGUGAGUGAUGAAGGUCUUCGGUUCGUAAAGCCCUGUUAUUAGGGAUGAACAACUGUGUAAGGAACUAUGCCCGUCGUGACGGUAACGAAUCAGAAAGCCACGGCUAACUACGUG